rnacentral:rRNA from 1 species
GACCAGACUCCUACGGGAGGCAGCAGUGGGGAAUAUUGCACAAUGGGGGAAACCCUGAUGCAGCGACGCCGCGUGAAGGAAGAAGUAUUUCGGUAUGUAAACUUCUAUCAGCAGGGAAGAAAAUGACGGUACCUGACUAAGAAGCCCCGGCUAACUACGUGCCAGCAGCCGCGGUAAUACGUAGGGGGCAAGCGUUAUCCGGAUUUACUGGGUGUAAAGGGAGCGUAGGCGGCGAUGCAAGUCAGAAGUGAAAGCCCGGGGCUCAACUCCGGGACUGCUUUUGGAACUGUGUGACUGGAGUGUCGGAGAGGCAGGCGGAAUUCCUAGUGUAGCGGUGAAAUGCGUAGAUAUUAGGAGGAACACCAGUGGCGAAGGCGGCCUGCUGGACGAUGACUGACGUUGAGGCUCGAAAGCGUGGGGAGCGAACAGGAUUAGAUACCCUCGUAC